AGCAGCCGCGGUAAUUCCAGCUCCAAUAGCGUAUAUUAGAGUUGUUGCAGUUAAAAAGCUCGUAGUUGAAUUUCGGGAUCAAUACGUCGGUCGUGCUUUCGGGUACGUACUGGCGUCAUUGGUUUCUCCUUUCUGACGAACCAUGAUGUCAUUAAUUUGGUGUUAUGGGGAGUUAGGACUGUUACUUUGAAAAAAUUAGAGUGUUUAAAGCAGGCAUUAGCUUGAAUACAUUAGCAUGGAAUAAUGAAAUAGGACGUUCGAUCCUAUUUUGUUGGUUUCUAGGACCAACGUAAUGAUUAAUAGGGAUAGUUGGGGGCAUUAGUAUUCAAUUGUCAGAGGUGAAAUUCUUGGAUUUAUUGAAGACUAACUACUGCGAAAGCAUUUGCCAAGGAUGUUUUCAUUAAUCAAGAACGAAAGUUAGGGGAUCGAAGACGAUCAGAUACCGUCGUAGUCUUAACCAUAAACUAUGCCGACUAGGGAUCGGAUGAUGUUAAUUUUUUAAUGACUCAUUCGGCGCCUUACGG
rnacentral:rRNA from 1 species